AGUUGAUCUGCGGUUGGUCCCUGGGCGCCAUCUGGCGGCCCCCCUGGAACUGCAAGGAAACUCCGUGCGCGUUCCGGGGACCAGCUCCCCUCCCGCUCUCUGUAAUCGGCAAAUACAGGCCGGCCUGAAUUCGGGAGCUCUGCGAGGGAUGGCCACAGUGGUUGAAGCUGCACCGAUCCAAAGCCAGGAGCCAGGAGCUUCUUCUGGGUCUCCCACAUGGGUGCAAGGAGUUGGGCCAUCUUCUACUGCUUUUCCAGGUCAUAGCAGAGAGCUGGAUCAGAAAUGGAGCAGCCGGGACUUGAACCAGCGCCCAUAUGGGGUGCCAGCACUGCAGGCAGCAGCUUUACCCACUACA